rnacentral:rRNA from 1 species
UACAGAGGGGGCGAGCGUUGUUCGGAAUUACUGGGCGUAAAGGGCGCGUAGGCGGCCAACUAAGUCAGACGUGAAAUCCCUCGGCUCAACCGGAGAACUGCGUCUGAUACUGGAUGGCUUGAAUUCGGGAGAGGGAUGCGGAAUUCCAGGUGUAGCGGUGAAAUGCGUAGAUAUCUGGAGGAACACCGGUGGCGAAGGCGGCAUCCUGGAGCGAGAUUGACGCUGAUGCGCGAAAGCCAGGGGAGCAAACGGG